CCUACGGGAGGCAGCAGUAGGGAAUAUUGCUCAAUGGGGGAAACUCUGAAGCAGCAACGCCGCGUGGAGGAUGAAGGUUUUCGGAUUGUAAACCUCUUUUGUUAGAGAAGAUAAUGACGGUAUCUAACGAAUAAGCACCGGCUAACUCUGUUCCAGCAGCCGCGGUAAUACGGAGGGUGCAAGCGUCACUCGGAAUCACUGGGCGUAAAGAGGGCGUAGGUGGGUUAGCAAGUCAGAUGUGAAAUGCUAUGGGUUAACCAUAAAAAUGCAUUUGAAACUGUUAUACUAGAGUGUGGGAGAGGUAGGUGGAAUUCUUGGUGUAGGGGUAAAAUGCGUAGAGAUCAAGAGGAAUACUCAUUGCGAAAGCGGCCUGCUAGAUCAUAACUGACGCUGAUGCGCGAAAGCGUGGGGAGCAAACAGGAUUAGAUACCCUAGUAGUC
rnacentral:rRNA from 1 species